CAAAAAUAUAUAUAAUCGUUUAUCCACACAAAUUGGUUUUAAUUAAAAUUUGAAUCCAAAGUGACUCUAUCUCUAUUCUUUAUUACUAUUAGAAUAGAGACAUAUAUACUCUAUCUCUAUUCUUUAUUACUAAUUUACUAUUAAACAUUUAGAAACCCUAACACCUAAAUUUCAACCAACAGCCACCAACACUCUAUCUCGUCGACUUUCAUUACUCUAUCUAACGCCAAAAAUAUAUAUAAUCGUUUAUCCACACAAAUUGAUUUUAAUUAAAAUUUGAAUCCAAAGUGACUAAUUUUGUAAUUGUUUCAAGUCUAUCCCUUUAGAAGCCCAAUUUUCAUGACCCGCCUGGCCCAACCGGAUCUCCCCUCUCUUUAAAACAUCCAUUUUUCCAAACCCUAAGAAAAAGACAGACAGAUCCCCCUUUGAAAAUCCUAGCCGCCUGGUCUCUUUCCUCACUCGCCCAUUCCCUUUUACGCAAAAAGAAGCCGAGAAUUCGCCAUCAUGCACACACAUCUCACCUAUGAAAAAAGUUAAAACAAAAUCCCUGAAUUCCCAUUUUUCUACAUCCGGAUCUGAAGAAGAAAAACGAAAAAAAAAGAUUAAAAAGGUUUUCUGAUUUUUGUUGUGUUACUUGGAGAAUUUAUGGGUUUCUCAUUUGUUUUUGGAUUGAAGUUGAGGUCGACAUUGUUGUUCUUCUGCGGUUUGCUAUCAAAAUCGUAGCUGAACUUCCUUUAUCUCCAUUUCUGCCCUUUAUCAACUGUUUCAAGCUCUAUUUGUCAAGUAUUUUAGGGAUCUACUCACUUAUGGAUUAAGCUGUUGUUUGAAUUUUGAAGCUGCAAAAAUUCAAGCAUUGUUAGGCGUUAGCUGCAGGACAAACAUUUCUGUGUAGUCUGCUCACUUAUGGAUUAAUCAUUUUGAAUUGUGGGCAGAGGAAAGACAUAUGUGUUCUGGACUCAUCUGUAAUGUAGUUUGCUUUGGGAUGUAAUGGACUCAUCUAUUGUAUUCUAUAGACUGGAAUGUAGUCUGAUGAGCAUAGGAAUUUUAGUUUGAGUCACAAUGGUCAGCAAACAAUUAAUGCACGGAAUAUAGAUUGAAUUAGGCCGAUAAACUGCCCGAUAAGAGCUAAACCGAUACCAAU